UACAGAGGUCCCGAGCGUUGUUCGGAAUUACUGGGCGUAAAGGGCGCGUAGGCGGCCCGCUAAGUCGAACGUGAAAUCCCCGAGCUUAACUUGGGAACUGCCGUUGAUACUAUAGAUCUUGAAUAUCGUGGAGGUAAGCGGAAUAUGUCAUGUAGCGGUGAAAUGCUUAGAUAUGACAUAGAACACCAAUUGCGAAGGCAGCUUACUACACGAUCAUUGACACUGAGGCACGAAAGCGUGGGGAGCAAACAGG
rnacentral:rRNA from 1 species